rnacentral:ncRNA from 1 species
AGGAGCCGUGUGACGGGAGACUGUCACGCACGGUUCUGUGAGAGCCCGGGGGUGCGAUUCCCCCGGGCCACUCGAC